UUAAUACCUGAUGGUAUGAUGAGAUUGCAUGAUAGCAUCAUUAAAGAUUUAUCGGUGUACGAUGGGGAUGCGUUCCAUUAGGUAGUAGGCGGGGUAACGGCCCACCUAGCCAACGAUGGAUAGGGGUUCUGAGAGGAAGGUCCCCCACAUUGGAACUGAGACACGGUCCAAACUCCUACGGGAGGCAGCAGUGAGGAAUAUUGGUCAAUGGACGAGAGUCUGAACCAGCCAAGUAGCGUGAAGGAUGAAGGUCCUACGGAUUGUAAACUUCUUUUAUAAGGGAAGAAUAAGUUCUACGUGUAGAAUGAUGCCUGUACCUUAUGAAUAAGCAUCGGCUAACUCCGUGCCAGCAGCCGCGGUAAUACGGAGGAUGCGAGCGUUAUCCGGAUUUAUUGGGUUUAAAGGGUGCGUAGGCGGUUUAUUAAGUUAGUGGUUAAAUAUUUGAGCUAAACUCAAUUGUGCCGUUAAUACUGGUAAACUGGAGUACAGACGAGGUAGGCGGAAUAAGUUAAGUAGCGGUGAAAUGCAUAGAUAUAACUUAGAACUCCGAUAGCGAAGGCAGCUUACCAGACUGUAACUGACGCUGAUGCACGAGAGCGUGGGUAGCGAACAGGAUUAGAUACC
rnacentral:rRNA from 1 species